rnacentral:lncRNA from 1 species
UUCGCAUUUCAUUGUGAUCAAGUGUUGACCAAACCAUUUUCAUGUACCGACAUAAAAUCAAUCAUUACAACCGGCAUUGACGCAUCAACGGUUUCAAGUUUGUUGGAUACAAAAAGUUCUCAAUUAUCAAGUUCCGAUGCCCGAGGCAAAGACACUUUUAAAUAAGAUGAGCUACAGGGCGACAAAGCAAGGCGACAAUCACUAGUCCUACUCAGUCUUCUCUCCACUCGGCUUCGACAUCAGGUGCCACAGCUCAAUGUUGGUUGAACUACGAAAAAGUAAGUUAGCAUCAUGUAUCCAACUGAGAAUUUUAUGACUAGAGUUUGAAUCUCUAAUAAUGAACAUCAGGACUUGUUGAUAAGAAGGAUAAGAACCACAGAACUAACUACUAUGUAUGGGUACUGUGGCAUAAAUUUCCGUAAUAAUUACUAAAUAACUAAGGACAAAGAUGAUAAGCGGUAGAUCAUUAAACCAUUGUCAAUCUCCACAAUACAAUAUAAUUCCGAAAUUAGUAAAACUGGGGAGAAAAUGUAUAAUUGGAAAAUUAAGGAGAAGACAAACAUGGAUUUAUUAGUGCAGAAAGUAAAGACCUCUAUCUAAAAAAGAGGCAAGGUAGCCACAUACCUUUCUUGCUCUGAGUGAAACCUUCCCAAUAACCUAAUUACCGAAAGGCAUCCAACAACUAAACACAAUGUCUUCGGAUAAAGCAAAACACUUCUAAUGUCAGAGCACCUGCAUACAAUAAAAGCCUAGGAGAACUGAAAAAGAAACAACAUCAAUGCAUAUGAACCGUUGGUCUGAUAUAUAUUUCAGUUCUCUGAGCACUAGGGAAGAACUACUAUUGACCAAUGUAUAUGCAACUUGUGUAAAGCAACAUCAAUAGAAAAAUAUAAUGAUUCUUUUUUAUUUCUUCUAAACUAGAUAGAGUAGACUUACAAACGAUGCAUCUAGAAUCCUACUCUCCUUGUGAAAAGCUGAAGCAGAACUGUACUAUACUAUUCCUUGUUCUCCAUACAAGAUGACAAGUUCUAGAUCCUCCUUUAUAUU